rnacentral:rRNA from 1 species
GAGAUCGGGAAGAACACCAACAGGCGAAAGCACUCUGCUGGGCCGUCACUGACACUCAGAGACGAAAGCUAGGGGAGCGAAUGGGAUUAGAUACCCCAGUAGUCCUAGCCGUAAACGAUGGAUACUAAGUGCUGUGCGUAUCGACCCGUAUAGUGCUGCAGCUAACGCGUUAAGUAUCCCGCCUGGGGAGUACGUUCGCAAGAAUGAAACUCAAAGGAAUUGACGGGGGCCCGCACAAGCGGUGGAGCAUGUGGUUUAAUUCGAUGCAAAGCGAAGAGCCUUACCAGGGAUUGACAUGCCGCGAAUCCUUUUGAAAAAAAGGAGUGCCUUCGGGAACGCGGACACAGGUGGUGCAUGGCUGUCGUCAGUUCGUGCCGCAAGGUGUUGGGUUAAGUCCCGCAACGAGCGCAACCCUCGUGUUUAGUUGCCAUAAGAGUUUGGAACCCUGAACAGACUAUCGGUGUUAAGCCGGAGGAAGGUGAGGAUGAUGUCAAGUCAUCAUGCCCCUUACACCCUGGGCGACACACGUGCUACAAUGGCCGGGACAAAGAGUUGCGCUCCCGCGAGGGCAAGCUAACCUCAAAAACCUGGCCUCAAUUCGGAUUGCAGGCUGCAACUCGCCUGUAUGAAGUAGGAAUCGCUAGUAAUCGCCGGUCAGCCAUACGGCGGUGAAUUCGUUCUCGGGCCUUGUACACACCGCCCGUCACACUAGGGAAGUGUGCCAUGCUCGAAGUCAUUAUCUUAACCGCAAGGAGGGAGAUGCCCAAGGCACGGCUAGUGACUGGAGUGAAGUCGGAACAAGGUAGC